rnacentral:rRNA from 1 species
CAAUGCGGCAGCCUAUACAUGACAAGUCGAGCGGACAGAUGGGAGCUUGCUCCCUGAUGUUAGCGGCGGACGGGUGAGUAACACGUGGGUAACCUGCCUGUAAGACUGGGAUAACUCCGGGAAACCGGGGCUAAUACCGGAUGCUUGAUUGAACCGCAUGGUUCAAUUAUAAAAGGUGGCUUUUAGCUACCACUUACAGAUGGACCCGCGGCGCAUUAGCUAGUUGGUGAGGUAACGGCUCACCAAGGCAACGAUGCGUAGCCGACCUGAGAGGGUGAUCGGCCACACUGGGACUGAGACACGGCCCAGACUCCUACGGGAGGCAGCAGUAGGGAAUCUUCCGCAAUGGACGAAAGUCUGACGGAGCAACGCCGCGUGAGUGAUGAAGGUUUUCGGAUCGUAAAACUCUGUUGUUAGGGAAGAACAAGUACCGUUCGAAUAGGGCGGUACCUUGACGGUACCUAACCAGAAAGCCACGGCUAACUACGUGCCAGCAGCCGCGGUAAUACGUAGGUGGCAAGCGUUGUCCGGAAUUAUUGGGCGUAAAGCGCGCGCAGGCGGUUUCUUAAGUCUGAUGUGAAAGCCCCCGGCUCAACCGGGGAGGGUCAUUGGAAACUGGGGAACUUGAGUGCAGAAGAGGAGAGUGGAAAUUCCACGUGUAGCGGUGAAAUGCGUAGAGAUGUGGAGGAACGCCAGUGGCGAAAGCGACUCUCUGGUCUGUAACUGACGCUGAGGCGCGAAAGCGUGGGGAGCGAACAGGAUUAGAUACCCUGGGUAGUCCACGCCGUAACGAUGAGUGCUAAGUGUUAGAGGGUUUCCGCCCUUUAGUGCUGCAGCAAACGCAUUAGCACUGCCGCCUGGGGGAGUACGGUCGCAGGACUGAAACUCAAAGGAUUGACGGGGGCCCGCACAGCUGUUGGGAGCAUGGUGUUAAUUCGAGCAGCGCGAGAUCUUACAGGUCUUGGACAUUCCUCUGACACCCUAGAGAAUAGGCUCGCCUCGGGGGCGGAGUGACGGUUGUGCAUGAUUGUCGCUCAGCCUGGUCUGAAUGUUCGGGUUAAGUCCGCACGAGGCUACUGACUAAUGCAGCAUCAGUUG